UGGGGAAUCUUGCACAAUGGAGGAAACUCUGAUGCAGCGACGCCGCGUGAGCGAUGAAGCCUUUCGGGGUGUAAAGCUCUUACGCCAGGGACGCGGUACCUGGAGAAGCAGCUGCGGCUAACUACGUGCCAGCAGCCGCGGUAAUACGUAGGCAGCAAGCGUUGUUCGGAAUUACUGGGCGUAAAGGGUGCGUAGGCGGUGCUCUAAGUUUGGUGUGAAAUCUCCCGGCUCAACUGGGAGGGUGCGCCGGAAACUGGAGUGCUGAGUGUGGGAGAGGAAAGCGGAAUUCCUGGUGUAGCGGUGAAAUGCGUAGAGAUCAGGAGGAACACCUGCGGUGUAGACGGCUUUCUGGACCAUGACUGACGCUGAGGCACGAAAGCGUGGGUAGCAAACAGGAUUAGAUACCGUGUAGU
rnacentral:rRNA from 1 species